GGCACAAGGGCUGAAAUUUUGUUGGCCACUACGUCCACCUCAGUACUCGAAUGGUGCUUAUGUUAUCGAACACGAAAGGAUGGGAUAAAUGUCGAAAGUGGGAGAAAUUUGAGGUCAGAAAGAAAAGUGAGUAAAAAAGCUUGUAAGCAUACAUAAGCACACAGUUUCACAUUUAAUGAGAAAGUAUAGUAGGUUAGAUCAACGUUAGAACUUCAACAUUCUAUUUGUGAAAGCAAAUAAGCGCGACCAAGAACAAAAGACAAACACUGCUCAGUAGCAGAAGUAGAGAGAAAUAUCAUUUUAUUGGAAGAAGAGUUCACAAAGCGUUAUAUCCAGUUUCACGAUUGCAAUCUUCGGACGAAAAUCGAGAAGUAAGGACUUAAGCAACGCAUUUAAAGGCAACUAGAAACAUCAAACAAUAUAUUUAUAUAUAUAUAUAUAUAUAUAUAUAUAUAUAUAUAUAUAUAUAUAUAUAUAUAGUUAAUCCAAACAUGAAAACACAAAGAGAAAACACAACAACGCGAGGACGUGGAACAAAUAUAGUAUUAUUGGACGCUCAGGAAGGAAGGAAGGAAGGAAAGAAGGAGGGUUUAACGUUUCGAGCGGUGCUCUUCGUCAGAAACAUAGGAAAAGGAAAGAUCCAAAGAAGAGAAGACGGAGGAAAAAAAUCGCCAACGGUACACACGCGGUCACACACACACACACACACACACACACACACACACACACACACACACACACACACACACACACACAUAUAUAUAUAUAUAUAUAUAUAUAACGGUAAGCUUUAUGAAAAUAGACAAAAGACGAAGGCAGGUUUACGGAAAUAAACAAAAGAGGAAGGCAGGUGGAAUACAAACAAACAAUUGUAUUAGUAUGGCGCUCAGGAAAUAUAAAUGAAGCAAGUCUUUAACGUUUCGAGCCUACGCUCUUCAACAGAAAGAUACACAGAGAAAAAAAACACAGAAAGAAGGAGAGAAAAAAAUAUGCGUGCAAAAGCUAGCGAAUCAACAUGGCGAUCUGAUUUCGGCCAGAAGUCAAAGAUCAAACAUGAGACGCAAGAGCGAAAUUAGGGGAGAUAUUAGGGUUGAAUGACCCUCGCUCAAACAUAAGAGUGUGUGUGUGUGUGUAUGAGAGAGUAUUAGUGCGUAUGAGAGGUCUAGACGUGUGUAUGUAUAUAUGAUGUGAUGUGUAAAGUCGUAUGGUGUAGUGUAGAGAGGAGAAGAGGGGGUAUUAGUGCGUAUGAGAGGUCUAGACGUGUGUAUGUAUGUAUGAUGUGAUGUGUAAAGUCGUAUGGUGUGGUGUAGAGAGAGGAGAAGAGGGGGAGGGGGAGAUGGGAGGGGGAGGGGGAGAAAGAAAGGGGAGAGGGGGAGGGGGAGGGGGAGGGGGAGAAGGAAGGAGAGGAGAAGAGGAGGGGAGGGGAGGAGGGAGGAUAGAGGGAGAGAGAGAGAAGGGGAGUGAGGGAGCAGAGGGAAGGGAAGAGGGAAGAAAGAGGGAGGGAGAAAGAGGGAAGAAGGGAAGAGGAGUAGGGGUGAAAAGAUGAAGGACUGAAGAGAAGUAGGGGUCGGGGGGAGGUUAGAUGAGGAGGGGGAGGGUUAGAUGAGGAAGGGGAGAGGGGGUUAGAUGAGGAGGGGGAGGAGAGUUGAGACCAAAUGGCAUAUAAGAGCGAAGAGAGAAGAUUAAUUCCUGUUCAUGGCGCAAACGGGAAUCCGGAUGGCCUCUGUGUAAGGACAAACCGAACACAGACAGGUGUUGCAAGGAGCGGAAAUGGCGUGAGACCGGUGUGUCGUUCGCAAGGUGGAUGUCACAAAGGUGUUCCGCGAACCGGUCAGCCAAGCGGCGUCCCGUUUGUCCGAUGUACAGGGAAUGGCAGAGAGAGCAAGAUACGCAAUAGAUAAUAUUGCUGGAGGUGCAGGUAUUGCUGACUGGAUAUAUGAGAUAUAUGCAAAAGUAAAGCAUGAAAUAAAAGCGGUGGACAAGUGAAACAUGUGAAAUAUACGAUAAAAAAAAAGACAAAAUUCUUUCCGGAGUCAUAUAGAUACAGUAGGCUAGUUUUUCGAAUUCCUUGUCGCAUAUAUUCUGCUUUGGACGGGACACCAGUCAAUCGAAGGAUUACUCAUUUUUGACAGCUGAAUAGACUGGUGCAACAUAAAAUGAAGCAAAUUUUCUCAAGAUAACAAAGAAUCGCAAGAAAUCGAACACACGAUCUUACGAGCAUGAGUGCAAUAUCAUAAACAUGACGACACCCGUCUCCGCACAAAUAUACAAUAACUGGUAAAAUAAGUUGAAAAUAAAAAAUAAAAUUGUUAAGCUCUGUACUCCAGCAUGACUACAGUCUAAUGGCGGCGACAUGUACAAAAUUAUAUAUAUACACCUCAACCCCACCCCACACAUAGAGACAGAUUGAUUGAUAUAGAUAUUUAUACAUGUACUGAACGCACACUCUCAUGCACACACAUGUAUAUAUAAAAGGCGGCGAGCUGGCAGAAUCGUUAGCACGCUGGGUGAAAUGCGUAGCCGUAUUUCGUCUGCCGUUACGUUCCGAGUUCAAAUUCCGCCGAGGUCGACUUUGCCUUUCAACCUUUCGGGGUCGAUAAAUUAAGUACCAGUUGCGCACUGGGGUCGAUGUAAUCGACUUGAUCCCUUUGUUUGUCCUUGUUUGUCCCCUCUGUGUUUGGCCCCUUGUGGGUAGUAAAGAAAUAUAUAUAAUAUAUAUAUAUAUAUACACAUAUGCAUAUAUAAGCACACGCAAACACACCCACAUACGCACAAACAUACAGACACAGAUGCGAAUACGAAUAUACAGCGGACUUCUUUUAGUUUCCAUCUACCAAAACCUCUCACAAACUUUUGGUCUGCCCGAGGCUAUAGUAGAAGGUGCCACGUAGAGUGAAACCGGAGCCAGAAGUAAGCGGUUGGUAAUCAAGCUUCUUACCAGACAGUCACGUUUGCGUCUAUGGAUUACAUCUUGUGUGUACAAAUAGAUGUCCGAAUGCUACUACUAUGCUUAGAGUCCCCAUAGAUUAUCAUGUUUCACUGUGCUUCCAGUAGAGUGGUUAAGUAAUUACUUUACUUGGUAGUAUUGCUAGUUAUGAAAUUCCAGAGCAAAUGUAGGAGAAAUUAAGUUAAACACGAGUUUGUGUGAUUAGUGACAACGUACGAAGGAAACAGUUAAACGUAUAAACUACGGUGAUUAGUUAUCUGUGACUUAAUGUAAUAAAACGUUCCCUGGUGAUCUGUUCUCGUUAAGCAUUCAUAUGCAGUUCGAGACAUAAUGCAUGCUUCUAAGCAACCAUAAUAGUGAAACGAACGUAGGAAUAAGAUGAGCUUCUGUUUACCUUAUUUUUUCAUAUAUAUAUAUAUAUAUAUAUAUAUAUAUAUAUAUAUAUAUAUAUAUAUAUAUAUAUAUAUAUAUAUAUAUAUAUAUAUAUAUAUAUAUAUAUAUAUAUAUAUAUAUAUAAUACAUAUAUAUAAUAUAUAUAUAUUCUAUAUAUAAUUAAUCCAAACAUGAACAAUGAGAAAACACCGCGAGGACGUGGAAUAAGUAUAAUGUUAUAUGGACGCUCAGGAAAGGAAAGAAAGAAGGAGGAUUUAACGUUUCGAACGGAGCUCUUCGUCAGAAACCAAGGAAGGGAAGACGGAGAAAGAAAAUUGCCAACGAUAUACAUAUAUAAUAUAUAUAUAUAUCACCGUGAUCACCGUGACCGACCAGUCUAUCAGAUGUUGCUACACAUCGCUGGUCACAAUGCGCUUCGCAUUGUUUUAGCCUUCAAAUGACGCCACCCCGCUGGCUAAGCGAGCAGGCCAACAGAGGGAAGAGUGAGAGAAAGUUGCAGUGAAAGAGUGGAGCUCGGAUCGCCACCACCCCCUGUCGGAGCCUCGUGGAACUUUAGGUGUUUCACUCAAUAAACACUCACAACGCCCGGUCUAGGAAUCGAAAUCGCGACCCUACGACCGCGAGUCUGCUGCCCUAACCACUGGGCCAUUGCACCUCACACACACACACACACACACACAUAUAUAUAUAUAUAUAUAUAUAUAUAUAUUUAUUUUAUUCUUUUACUUUUACUCGUUUCAAUCAAUUGACUGCGGUCAUGCUGGAACAUCACUUUUAGUCAAAGAAACCGACCUCAGGACUUCUUCUUUGUAAGCCUAGUACUCUAUCUUAUAGUAGAAACAGCAGUAAGCUAAUGAAGUUCAUAUGAUAAUCGUUUAUUCCUUUUUGUCAUAUCAUUUUCUCGUAUAUAUAUAUAUAUAUAUAUAUAUAUAUAUAUAUAUAUAUAUAUAUAUAUAUAUUGUGGUGUCCUGGACGUACAUAUAUUUAUAUAUGCAUGUAUAUAUACAUGUAGAUGUCGGUACGUACAUAUAUGUUUGUAUGUAUGCAUAUAUUUUAUUUAUUACACUAUUGUCUGACAGCGCUUCGCGUCGGGUUCGUUCGAAUUUUCGAAUUUCCGAAUCUUCGCUUCGUUCUGUCUCUUAUCCUCCCAGUAUUGUCUUAUAAUAUAAUUAUGACGCGAAAUUCUCUCCCUUUGCUUUACCUUCCCCUCUCUCUCUCCCUCUUCCUCAUCCUUCUCUCAGCCGCGUGUCUUCCUCUCUCUCUCUCUCUCUCUCUCUCACUCCUCCUCACUUUCGUCACUGCUAAUCCUUUUGCACGUUGCUUUCAGGCCGUAAGGUCAUGUUUCCCUGCGCUCGCCAGUACCUCUUCCGUCCCAGCUAGAGCAAAAGCCCAUCGUUUGUUUUUUUCCUUCGUUUUCUUGUUUAUUUUGAUUUCUCGUUUUAUAUUUUAUUUCUCGUUUUGUAUUUUCUUGUACAUGUAUUUUUAAUUUUGUAUUUUUAUCUUGUAUUUUAUUACGCAGUUCUAUUGUUACGUCCCGUUUGUGUUACAUUUUUUCGUGCUUGUUUUACCCCUCUGCGAGGUUAUUUUAUUUUAAUUCUCUUGCAGGAAGGCCUAGUAUUGACGAGUCGUGUCCUGUCUUGCCUUCGAAACACGCUAAGUCUACUAGUGACAGCUGAUGAAGGGGAUUUUUCCUUGUGUAGCUUGUCCUGUACCUUGCUUUUCUGUUAUAAAUAAUGUUUUUCCUGUUAUUCAACUUUGUGAACACUAUUACCCUGCAUGCGUAAGCAAAAGCUGGGUAUUAUAGUCGUUCGUCUUAGUCUGUAUGUCUGUGUUUUUGCAAAAUCACUGAAAAACAACUAAACGGAUUUUCACCAAAUUUGGCAGAAAUACUCAUUGGGUAAAUGGCUCGAUAUCAUUAAAUUUUGGUUUGAAUAGCUUCAUAAUUGGCGGACUGGUGAAGCAAAAUGUUUCUUUUUCUUUAUUACACAUGCAUAAACGAUAAGCAAGGGAAAUAACCCUUGAUGUCAUUUAGUUGAAAUAUGAAUGCGUCUGAGAAUAUAUUUAUUAAAUAAAAAUUCAGUUUAUCCUAGUGUGCGCGCAGGGUAUUCAUCACCCCUCCGAUGCCUUUUUAAAAAUUUUUUUACAUUAGUCUUGCAUCCAUUUAUAUGGUUUGGUGGGAGCGGACUGACUUGGUGUAUUUACACCCUUUUUCUACAUCGAGAAUAUUUCUCCAAGAAAAAAAUGGAGUGAAUAGUUUCCUUACGGAUUUGAAUAUGUCUUAAGCAUAUUUAAACUGGUAACGAGUUUUAUAUUUGUGUACAUCACUGCAUAUCGCUUCUUUUCUGCAUUCUAAUACAGCUGGGUCACAGAUUAGCAUAACAAGUCACAGUAAUUUGACUGGAAUGUGAUAUGAGAGAUCUGUUGUUUCGUAGCCAAAUCAGAACACCUCUCUCUCCAGUGAUUGAUGUUGAAGAAAUGACUACUCUGAAAUCCAACGAUCUGGGUAGAGAGCAUCCGCGACUGACUGAUGCAUUUAGGCCUUUUUGUCAACAGUGAGAAAUUUUCUCCUUGACAAACUGUUGGGAAUAGCAGUCCAACGGGUUCGAAUAUGUCCCAGGCAUAUUUGAACUGGUAACAAGUUUAUACUUAGUUCUCUAUGACAAAGUUUUUUGAACACGCUUCCGUGGAACCCAAUAGUUCCAAAUCGUCUAUUACUGGUUCCAGGGCUGAUUUGUAAGAAAUACCCCAGCAGUGUUCCGGUAUUUUGGAAUAUGUACAUAGAUAUUUGUAAAGAAACUAUUUUUUUUUCCCCAAAUAUGUUUGUAUUUAUGUUUAAUCUAAUCCAUAAUCUAAUUAGAAUUUACUGCUGAACCAUUCGUAGUUUCGAAAAGCAUGAAAUAUAAUUCCAAUGAUACUAUUAAACUUGUCAGUAUUUCUACAUCAACACUACUAAAUGUAAAAAUCUUUAGUUUAUUAUGUGAAAAUGUAGGAAUUCUAUAUACAACUUCAUUUGUAUAGAAUGAGAUGCGCUGUUUAUCGCGUAGAGAAGUAAUGAUUCAUUAAAAAAAUUUUUUUUUUAAUUUCGAAAGGUGUGUAGAAAUUGGGUUAUUUCUAUUUGAUUCUUAGGCGCUUAUGUUUCUGAUAUAUUUACUUGAUUAAGGUUAAUUGUUUAAUGCAGAGUAACUAAAUAAACAUGCUUGAAAGUAAAAAAUAAAACGAAUACCGUUUAGCGUAAAGUAAAAUCUUGCGCUGACUAUGUAGCUAGGGAUGAUGUCCGGUGUUUUUUAAAAUCUUAGGGCUUUUUGUCUAGCAUACAAAUGUUCCUUAGUCAUGAUACAAACAUUCAAUAUUGUAAUAUUUAUACGAUAUUUAGCUGUUAUGAAUAACUAACAGUAGGUUUCGGUGGAAAUUGGAAGUCAACUUUGGUGUGAAAGCCUGUCUAUAGACUCAUUAAACUUAAGCAGUCUUUUACUGGAAGAAAAGCAAAUAAACAGGCUUCUGGAUUGUAUUGUUAAUGAAAUAUCCUACUUCGUUAAUACAAAAUCAAGAUCAUUAAUAAAAGAUCAAGAUCGUUAAUACUAGAUAAAGAUCAUUAAUACAAGAUCAAGAUUUAAUACAAUUUCCAGCUAUAUAUUUAUAUGAAAUAACUUUCUUAAUAAUGAAGAACGUUUAAUAACGAAGAAUAGAGAUUAACUGAAUAUAGAAGAUGGUUUAUGGUUAGGAGGAACUUACUUAUUUUCAAAAUCUAAAACUCACUAACUAUAAAUGUUGAAUUUUUCAAGAAAACAACACCCUAAAAUUAUAGCACAAUGUUAUUUUAAUUCUUUUUUGGGGAUAUAGUUAUAAUAUUUUCCCCUUAGAAUAUAUUAUAAAUUCCCCCCAAAAUUCUCUAAUCUAGGAUGUCCCAUGACCACAAUAAGUUUUAUCAUAUGCAUUUUUGAUAAUAAACUAGAAUGGUCCGUUUCAGAGUUUCUGCAAAUGUGUUUGUAACAUUGUGAGCGAUGGUGUAUGCAUAGUUUCUACAGGAUGCCUUUGUCAUAACUUGCGAUUGCAUUGUUUUGUCUGCCGGACAUACUUCUUACACUUUCCACAAGAUGUCUGUAACCCUAAAAGGGAUUAUCUUGUUUCGCCUGUCAUGUAGUGUUUCUGAUUUCUCCACGGUACUUCCUAUUAUAUAAUAUUCUUAAGUAAAUUUCCAGGUUUAGUUACCAAAACUAUCACUGCAGAACCCACAUUAUUCUUGGUGGUAUACGCAUUACACCAAAAAUGAUAGGAUACCAAUCUGAAAUUGGAAUCAAUGGUAAAGACAAAUUAUAACUAAAGUGUACUGGGAGCAAACAGCAGAAGUAAUAACAGAACAGUUACAUCAAUGUUACAAAAAAAAAGGAGUCGGCCCAGGAGGAGUAGGCGCAGGAGUGGCUAUGUGGUAAGUAGCUUGCUUACCAACCACAUGGUCCCGAGUUCAGUCUUAAAGUAAGAAUCAUAUGUAAUGAAAAUAAAUACAAAAAAAAUAAACACUCACACAUGAAAACUAUGGCAGUCAGCAAGAAACGAACCACUAACAUCAAUAUAGCCAAAAAUGGAACACUAAUAGAACAAAUUUCAACCGUGGUCUAUAUUGGCUUUAUGAAGUCUGAAAAACGGUAAAUUUGAAACUGAAAUUUGACGAAGAAUAGAAAUUGCAAGGAAUACAAAGGAAAGCGUGUCAAAUGCGUUAACAUCAAAGAAAAUACAAGUAGAAACAAGAAUACGGUAUAAAUGUUACAUACAGUUCACACUAUCAUAUGGUACAGAAACAUGGAUAUUGACCAAAUCUGCCUGAUAAACUAGAAGCUUUUGAAAUGUGGGCAUAUAAAAGAACGUUAAGAAUAUACUGGACAAAUCAUAUAACUAAUAAAAAUAAGUGCUACAACAAGCGAACACAAAAAAAUUAUUACUCUCAACUGCUAAAAAGGCAUUUUGGUCACAUAGUAAGUGUAUAGGGUAUAGAAAGGAUGUUAUGAGAAGGAAAGCUAAAUGGUAAACAGCCGAGAGGAAGACCUAGUACCAACCGGUUUGAUAACAUCGAAGACUGAACGAAACAACCAGACGGUGAAUGUGGAAGAAUGGCGGAAAAAAGACCCGAAUGGGGAUCUUUGAUAUUCACCUGGCUGAGAGCAGCAGCUGGUACAGGAUAAUGAUGCUAAUGAGGAUACUAAUAACAGGCAGAUACACUAAAGCACAUGCAUACAUAUAUAUAUUUCUUUAUUGCCCACAAGGUGCUAAACAUAGAGAGGACAAACAAGGACAGACAAAGGGAUUAAGUCGAUUACAUCGACCCCAAUGCGAAACUGGUACUUUUAUUUAUCGACCCCGAAAGGAUGAAAGGCAAAGUCGACCUCGGCGGAAUUUGAACUCAGAACGUAACGACAGACGAAAUACGGCUAAGCAUUCCGCCCGGCGCGCUAACGUGUCUGCCAGCUCGCCGCCUUUAGUAUAUAUGUACACUCACACACACGCGCGGGCACACGCAUAUACAUACAUACAAACAUACAUACAUAUAUAUAUAUAUAUACACAUAUAUAUAUAUGUAUACAUAUAUAAAUAUACAUACAUAUAUAUAUAUAUAUAUUUAAAAAAGGAGAUGUGGAACACGAGUUGUGAUAUAUAAAAAAGGAAAUGAAGAAAAUGCUGACAAAAUAAUUUAAGUAAUUUAAGUAAUUUAAUUAGGUGGAAGUUCAUUUUACCGGUUGCGCAACCGGUAAAAAGAACUUUCCUUUUAUAUAUAUAUAUAUAUAUAUAUAUAUAUAUAUAUGCACACAUCUGUCUAUCAAUCUAAACACACGCACACAUAUAUAAAAAGAUAUUAAGACAUUGCCGUUUUCUUCUAUACUUCUGUGAGUAUGGUUCGUCUGUUUUUCUAUGCAUGUUUUGGUAUUUUGAAAAUAUUUCUAUGUAAUAAAUAAUCUUUGGAAUUAAUGCACUGGGAUAUGAAAAGAAUGACAUAUUUUCUUUUUAUUAUUUCUCCAUAGGCGUAGGAGUACCUGUGUGGUAACUAGCUUGCUUACCAACCACAUGGUUCCGGGUUCAGUCCCACUGCGGGCUGACCAAGAGUUUGUGAGUGGAUUUGGUAGACGGAAACUGAAAGAAGCGUGUCGUAUAUAUGUAUAUAUAUAUGUGUGUGUAUACGUUUGUGUGUCUGUGUUUGUCUCCCCAACAUCGCUUGACAACCGACGUUUGUGUAUUUACGUCCCCGUAACUUAGCGGUUCGGCACAAGAGACGGAUUGAAAACGUACUAGGCUUACAAGGAAUAAGUCCUGCAGUCGAUUUGCUCGACUAAAGGCGGUGCUCCAGCAUGGCCACAUUCAAAUGACUGAAACAAGCAAAAGAGUAAAGAGUAAAGCGUAUCCCUUGCCCUGGGAUGACUAAUAUUUACAUUCUAAUACAUCCACCAACGGAGGUUGGAAACCUUUAAUUUCAAGUCAACGAAACUCACGUCAAAAGGACAACGAUAACGAGCAGUAAGCACUGUUAUAGUUCGCACUUGCACAUUCUCUGACUGCUCUGACAAAUACUGAUUUACGUCGUUAUGAUUGGAAUUUCGAUGGUUUAGUACUGCUUGCAAUAGUUACGGUUUCAAAUACAGAUCGAAAGGUUUCACGUAUCUCGCUUUCUCUCUUUCUCUCCCUGCAAAUGUGCGCGCGUGUAUGUGUAUGUGUGUGCGUGUGUGUGACUAAACAUAUAUAUAACGAACUGGCAGAAACGGCGGCGAGCUGGCAGAAAAGUUAGCACGCCGGGCGAAAUGCGUAGCCGUAUUUCGUCUGCCGUUACGUUCUGGGUUCAAAUUCCGCCGACGUCGACUUUGCCUUUCAUCCUUUCGGGGUCGAUAAAUUAAGUACCAGUUACGCACUGGGGUCGAUGUAAUCGACUUAAUCCGUUUGUCUGUCCUUGUUUGUCCUCUCUGUGUUUAGCCCCUUGUGGGUAGUAAAGAAAUAUAUAUAUAACGGACUCUCCCUGCAAAGAUGAUUUGUUUAUAGUAACCAAAUGUAUGUGCUGUACAUAAGGUCGCUCCCUCCAUCAAACCGACGUUGUCUGAACUAGUACACGGUGUACCACGCGUCAGGUGUCAAAGUGAUCGAAGAGCGACGGUCUAGGAAUUGAAACCACGACCUCGCGAUCGUGAGGGCAAUACCCUAACCACUUGGGCAAUACAGUACUGUAUUAUAUAUUUUUAAAAAAUAUUUUUAUAAUUUGUGUAUAUUUAUUUUAUAUUAAAUGCAGAACAAUACCACAGAGGAAUCGACGUAAGCCUAUAUAAUAAACCGCGAUAGGUGAAACGCGAUAUCGCGAGGAUUACUGUGUAAAUGUAUUAUUAUUUACGUGUAUAUGUGUGUGUGUAUGUAUGUAUAUAUAUAUAUAUAUAUAUAUAUAUAUAUAUAUAUAUAUAUAUAUAUAUAUAUAUAUAUAUAUAUAUAUAUAUAUAUAUAUAUAUAUAGAUAUAUACAUAUAUACAUAUAUAUAUAUAUAUAUAUAUAUAUAUAUAUAUACAUAUAUAAUAUAUAUAUAUAUAUAUAUAUAUAUAUAUAUAUAUAUAUAUGCGUGCGUGAUGUGUGUAUGUGUGUGUACGGGAGUAUUUACACAUGUAAGUACUUAUGUGUGCUCUUGAUAUUUCAGCGUAAUUUGUGCAAACCCUUUCAGGCAGUGAUGAUGUGUAGAUAAUUUACGUGACACCUGCUGAUAUCUAGGAAAGAUCAGCGAAAAUGACCAGACGUUGAAAUAUUAUCCGGACAAUUUGAACAAUUUCCACAGUUUUAUACUUUCCUUUUCUUUUCGUUAUGUAUAUAUGUAUACGCAUAUAUAUAUAUGUACAUAUAUAUAUAUAUAUAUAUAUAUAUAUAUAUAUAUAUAUAUAUAUAAACAUGUAUGUAUGUAUGCAUGUAUAUAUGUAUGUAUAUAUAUAUAUAUAUAUGUAUAUUUAUAUACAUAUAACCAUAUAUAUAUAUGUGUAUAUAUAUAUAUAUAUGUAUAUUUAUAUACAUAUAGCCAUAUAUAUGUGUGUGUAUAUAUAUAUAUAUAUAAUUAGAUAUAUCUCACCUCAUCUCUAUUUCUGCCUUUGUCUGUAUGUCAGUGUGCUCUGCUCUUUCUUUCUCUCUCUGUUUUUCUCUCUUUCCUUCUCUGUCUUCCUGCUUGCGUCUGUAUCUAUCUAUACACCUAUUAUAAAACGGCAUUUUCUUUUCAUGGGCGUACUGUUCUAGCAAAAUGUCAGAUUUGCUAUUACCAAAAGAGCCAGUUCUCUCUAAGGACGGUAAAUUCCUGCAAUGUCAACGUAUUCGAAAUUACAUAACUUCACAAAACAUUUUUUUUUUUAUUCAGUCUUUCUUAAUAAAACGGGCAUUGCUGUUGGCUUCAACAGUCUAGUUCGUUUCCUUCCCCUGAUCUUGAAACAAAGACACUGAAGUCCUACUUAACAAGUAGACUAACAUGUAAUUAUAUAUUAGGUGCUAUCGAAGCAGCAUGGUGGUUAGGAGAAUAAUGUAUUGGAAUACAUGACGUAAUACACGAACUCCAAUAUAUUUCUUUAGUAAACGUUUCGUCUGAGUUUCUGCUAUCAUAGUUUUGCUAUCUCAAGUCACCCUUGAGAUGGCAAAACUAUGACAAAUAAUGUUCCCGAAAUGACUAUUCCGCCUUUUAAUGCUAUUCUUUCUUUUAUCAGCAGUAACUUAUCAAUUAUACAUUUAUUCUUUUAUUAUUUUAUCUGUUUCAGUCACUUCACUGCGGCCAUGUUGGAGCACUGUCUUUAGUGGAACAAAUCGACACCAGGACUUAUUGCUUGUAAGCCUGGUACUUAUUCUAUCGGUCUCUUCUUCCGAACCGCUAAGGACGUAAACACACCAACAUCGGUUGUCACGUGAUGGUGGAGGGGGAAUACCGAAACACAAACACACACACACAUCUAUACAAAGGGCUUCUUUCAGUUUUCAUCUACCAAAUCUACUCACAAGGCUUUGGUCGGCCCGAGGCUAUAGUGGAAGACACUUGCCCAAGGUGUCACACAGUGGGACUGAACCCGGAACCAUGUGGUUUGUAAGCAAGCUACUUACCCCAUAGCCGCUCCUGCUCCUAAAGUUAAUCGACCACGAGAAUCGAGUUUCGGCUGCUGUUUCUAUGUUUCCUCGUAAGUUCAGGAGAAACUUCUGGCGUUGUUCCCUCUCAGCUCUGUGCUUGUGUACAACCAGUGACCAAGCAUAAUAUAAGUGUACGCAAAAGAUCAGCUGCCUAAGAUCUUUUGGGCACACUGGCAUUACAAUUGUUCGCUUGUUGAACAAAACAUACGUUUGUCGCGGAACAAAUUGCAAGCUUAAGAUUUUUUCAAAUAAUAGUUCCUAAACAUAAGAGUAGACUCAAAUUUUUAGUCCUGUUUUGUGAAAAAGAUGAAUCUCUCUGGGAAAUUCGUUGGUUUCACUAUGUUUAAUGUUUCCUAAUCAUUAAACAUAGAAACUCACCACUAUUCAGAGCAUCGACGGCCAUUACGUUUUUCUUUUUUUAGGGGCAACGAUGAUCUAAUUAGCGUUUCUGAAGAAUCCAAACAUUUCAUAGACACAUUAACAGUUAUUACAUUAUGGUUAGCUACUCAUCUAGUAUAUAUAUAUAUAUAAAUCGGCGGCGAGCUGGCAGAAUCGUUAGCACGCCGGGCGAAAUGCGUAGCCGUAUUUCAUCUGCAUGACGUUCUAGGGGCAACGAUGAUCUAAUUAGCGUUUCUGAAGAAUCCAAACAUUUCAUAGACACAUUAACAGUUAUUACAUUAUGGUUAGCUACUCAUCUAGUAUAUAUAUAUAUAUAUAUAUAAAUCGUAAUAUGUGUGUGUAUAAUGACUAACGCAUACAUUUCCCCAAUUCUCACUCGAUUUCCUCCAAAUUUUACACACACAUUACUUAUGUCCCAAGGACGGUCAUGCACUAUAACAUUUUGUCCAGAACUCCCGCGUAAAUGAACGUAAAUGGACAUAUUUUUUUGUAUGUAG
rnacentral:lncRNA from 1 species